UCUUUUUUGUUAUAAUGAUUCAGCAAGGAAGUUUUAUUGGACGGUAGCUGAUUCCAAACGUUAGGUGGUGGUGCUUAUGCAACACAUAAAUCCGAAGAAAGGAUCAGUCACGAUGAGCGUUUACGACGCUUUAUCGCUAAUGCUAGCUUUCGGUACGUUUCUGAUCGCACUGUUAAGCUACA
rfam:Lactobacillus mucosae LM1, complete genome.